CCUACGGGAGGCAGCAGUGGGGGAUAUUGGACAAUGGGGGGAACCCUGAUCCAGCGACGCCGCGUGAGUGAAGAAGUAUUUCGGUAUGUAAAGCUCUGUCAGCAGGGAAGAACGAAAUGACGGUACCUGACCAAGAAGCCCCGGCUAACUACGUGCCAGCAGCCGCGGUGAUACGUAGGGGGCAAGCGUUAUCCGGAAUUACUGGGUGUAAAGGGAGCGUAGACGGUUAAGUAAGUCUGGAGUGAAAGGCCGGGGCCCAACCCCGGGACUGCUCUGGAAACUAUUGAACUUGAGUGCAGGGGAGGUAAGCGGAAUUCCUAGUGUAGCGGUGAAAUGCGUAGAUAUUAGGAGGAACACCAGUGGCGAAGGCGGCUUACUGGACUGUAACUGACGUUGAGGCUCGAAAGCGUGGGGAGCAAACAGGAUUAGAUACCCUAGUAGUC
rnacentral:rRNA from 1 species